CCGACGGGUGAGUAACACGUAUGCAAUCCACCUGUAACAGGGGAGUAACCCGGAGAAAUCCGGACUAAUACCCAUAAUAUGGGCGCUCCGCAUGGAGAGUCCAUUAAAGAGAGCAAUCUUGGUUACAGACGAGCAUGCGCUCCAUUAGCCAGUUGGCGGGGUAACGGCCCACCAAGGCGACGAUGGAUAGGGGUUCUGAGAGGAAGGUCCCCCACAUUGGAACUGAGACACGGUCCAA
rnacentral:rRNA from 1 species